UUCGAUGUCGGCUCUUCCUAUCAUUGUGAAGCAUAAUUCACAACGUGUUGGAUUGUUCACCCGUUAAUAGGGAACGUGAGCUGGGUUUAGACCGUCGUGAGACAGGUUAGUUUUACCCUACUGAUGAAUCGAUGUUGCGACAGUAAUCUUACUUAGUACGAGAGGAACCGUUAGAUCAGAUAAUUGGUUAAUACGGUUAGCUGAAAAGCUAAUGCCGUGAAGCUACCAUCUGCUGGAUUAUGACUGAAAGCCUCUAAGUCAGAAACCAUGCUGAAAAGCAACGUUCAAUCAAUAAUACAAGAAAAACAAUAAGGGAAACCUUAAGUUCAGAGGGGUGGCGUCAAAAUCCGAAAGGAGUAUGACAAAGCUCUAAUCAAUUUCAAUUAUUAUUGUAACAGAUCUUCUGUAGACGACUUAACAUGGAAGGGGUAUUGUACGCGUUAGAGUAGGUUACCCUACGAUAUGCUGAGAUUCAUCCCCGAAUCCUUAGAUCUGU
rnacentral:ncRNA from 1 species